GACGAACGCUGGCGGCGUGCUUAACACAUGCAAGUCGAACGAUGAUCUCCCGCUUGCGGGGGUGCUUAGUGGCGAACGGGUGAGUAAUACGUGAGUAACCUGCCCUUGACUCUGGGAUAAGCCUGGGAAACCGGGUCUAAUACUGGAUACUACUUCCUGCCGCAUGGUGGGGGGUGGAAAGGGUUUUACUGGUUUUGGAUGGGCUCACGGCCUAUCAGCUUGUUGGUGGAGUAAUGGCUCACCAAGGCGACGACGGGUAGCCGGCCUGAGAGGGUGACCGGCCACACUGGGACUGAGACACGGCCCAGACUCCUACGGGAGGCAGCAGUGGGGAAUAUUGCACAAUGGGCGGAAGCCUGAUGCAGCGACGCCGCGUGAGGGAUGACGGCCUUGGGGUUGUAAACCUCUUUCAGCAGGGAAGAAGCCACAAGUGACGGUACCUGCAGAAGAAGCGCCGGCUAACUACGUG
rnacentral:rRNA from 1 species